rnacentral:rRNA from 1 species
CAGCCGCCGCGGUAAUACCGGCGGCCCGAGUGGCGGUCACUAUUAUUGGGCUUAAAGCGUCCGUAGCCGGGUUGGGAAAUCCUCCGGGAAAUCUGGCCGCUUAACGGUCAGAAUGCCGGAGGAUACUCCCAGCCUAGGGAGCGGGAGAGGCCGAGGGGAUUCCCGGAGUAGGGGGGAAAUCCUAUAAUCCCGGGAGGACCACCUGUGGCGAAGGCGCUCGGCUGGAACGCGUCCGACGGUGAGGGACGAAGGCCAGGGGAGCAAACCGGAUUAGAUACCCGGGUAGUCCUGGCUGUAAACGAUGCGGACUUUGUGUCGGACAAGCUAUGAGCUUGUCCGGUGCCGGAGGGAAACCGUUAAGUCCGCCGCCUGGGGAGUACGGCCGCAAGGCUGAAACUUAAAGGAAUUGGCGGG